GAAGAGCUGCAGUGGCCAUUCCCUUCACCUGGCUGCCUCCUCUACUCUAUAGGGCACUGAGCCCAAUGGAGAUGGAUGGGAGUGGAGUAGCAGUGAUGUGAUGAAUUACCUUGCAUGGGAGAGAAAUCCCUCCACUGUCUCAAACCCCGGCCACUGUACGAGCCUGUCAAGAAGCAUGGUAUUUCUGAAGUGGAAAGAUUAUAACUGCAAUGUGAGGUUACCCUAUGUCUGCAAGUUCACUACCUAGGGCAGGAGCAAAGUCAGCAGCCUGCGUUUGGUGUGGAACUCAUCAUGAGCAUGAACCCAGUGUGAAGACAUCCUGGAAGAGAAUAUUCACUUAAUUCCCCCCAGAUAUGACCACGUCAUUCUUAUCUUCCUUCUGUUUCUUCCUUCUCACUUUCAUUUCAGUCUCUUCAUUUUGUCAUAUGGCCUAAGGCUUUAGAGAGCAAUAAUAAAAUUUUUAGUCUGCA